AGCUGGGGAAGGCCACAGAGGUGUUUGUGACAGUGGCUGGACAUGAGCCCAGGUGUGCCCAGGUGGGCAGGAGGCCAGUGGCCCCUGGGCUGUACCAGCCAUGGUGUGUCCAGCAGGCCCAGGGCAGUGACUGUCCCUCUGUGCUGGCACCUUCUGGCUUUGACCACUUCACCUGGAGCUCUUAUCACUGCCUGCCCUCACCCACAGAGUGGCACUUUGGAAACUUCCCAAUCGUUGACCCUCUUCUUGGAUCAGACUCACUCACAGUGGGGUCAGCAGUGAAAAACCUCAGGAGAGCAGCAUCUGUCCUUCACCAUCCUCAGCUCUGGGGACAGCCAGCUGCCAGUGGUGGAUAACAAAAAUAAAGAGGACUUCUAUCCUCUAGGUGAAGUCU